rnacentral:lncRNA from 1 species
CAUAGUACUGAGGUAACAUUUUUACUAUUAGAAUUAUACUCAUUUACCUCUGUCUGGCACUAUGAUAGCAGCCUUGGAGAGUGGGGAUUAGAGAGGCCCGAAGUGAGAUCCCCACUGCCACGUGUCUUCGACAAGAGCGACAUACUUUCUCUCAAUAGUUGGAGUCAAACAAAUCUCAUUAACCAUUACUUUCUUGCAAAAUUUAUUAAUUAUACCAUAUUAAAAUGGUUGGUACAGAAUGUACAUAUGAUAUUGCACAUCAGGCUUAUGCCAAUAUUCAGUAUAUUGAACCAGCUCCGUAC